rnacentral:lncRNA from 1 species
AACCUGACUUGCAAGGAGAAUGAGGACACUUGGAGCUUCUCAGAUUAAAGCAUAGAGUCACAGAAUAUUCUAAGCUGGAAGGAACCCCCCAAGAUUGCUGAGUCCAACUCCUCAAACAGUGGUUGUCACAGCUUUUGUCUGUGAGAUGACAUGACCUUACAAAGACAGCUCUCUCCUGCAGCUGACCAUAUGUAGACUUCAGGCAAGUUCACUUGGAGAACACCCACUAAAUCGCUAAAUCACUACACAAUCAUAAUCUGACAGAGGGAAGACCUAGAGACUAGUGGACAGCAGUGCAAGUGGGAAUCCAAAUCGAGAAUUGCAAGGGAGACCAGAGCUCUUCAUUCUCAAGGGAACCUCUGAACUGUUACACUGAAAAUCCCAGGCUGUGCUUUGCUCCAUGAGGCUCUUCCUCUGUACAAAGAACUGUCAAAACCUUGCUCUAGUCUACACCCACGAAUGGUGGAACCCAGCUGCAGUUCCAGACACAUGCAUUCCUGCUCCUGUGCCAGAAAUUCCUGCUUCCUGUGCUCAUCACCAACCCUGCAGCCGAAGCCACAGCUCCUAUUCAGGACCCAUCCUCCCAUACUCCAGAAUAAUACCUGCGAGUGAAAGAUCUCUCCCAAGGGGUCUCCGGGAGGGAGUCCUGUUGGACUCAGGCCCCAUUUAUGGAUCUCCCUGGAGCUCCCGGUUCUCUGCUCUGCAUUGUGGCUGUGAGGGUGAGGUGCAGAUGACUGAAAGGAGAACUCUAUUUCCAACACGAAGACCAGGCUUUGGGAAGGGCUAUAGGGAGGCUUCCCUGCAGCCCCACCGAUCCCCCACGUGA